AUUUAGGAGAGUUUGAUCCUGGCUCAGGAUGAACGCUGGCGGCGUGGAUAAGGCAUGCAAGUCAAACGGGCUCUGUAGCAAUACAGAGUACAGUGGCGAACGAGUUAGUAAUACCUUGGAACGUACUCCGAAGACGGGGAUAACUAGUCGAAAGAUUAGCUAAUACCCGAUAGCAUCGUGCUUCACUAUUGUUCAGCACUCAAAAAUCAUAAAUCCGAAAUCCUAAUCUCUAAACAAAUUCAAAUCUCAAAAUCCAAAAUUCAAAAUAUUUAGAAUUUGGAACAUUAGAAAUUUGAUAUUGUUUAGGAUUUAGAAAUUAGAAUUUAGAGAUUGGAGUGCCAAGUGAUAGCGAGGCACGAUUAAAGUCGCAAGACACUUCGGAAGCGGCCUAGGUCCUAUCAGCUAGUUGGCGGGGUAACGGCCCACCAAGGCUACGACGGGUAGGGGGUGUGAGAGCACGGCCCCCAACGAUGACACUGCGAUAAAUUUUUGUCGCCUUCAGCGGUAACGCUGAAGUAAAAUCUAGCUUAUAACGGUGAAACCUCAAAGAGGCAACGCCGUGGGAAGGCCGACGCAAAGUCGGCCCCCGUAACGACUCACCCUUCGAAGCUUUAGCGAAGUAGGGUGGAUGGUAGGCGAUGAGGCAUUUUGCCGAUGGUCUAUCAUAAUAUGCUAGCGCCUCUAAUUUUUAGAGGAUGAAGACAUAGUCUAUACCAUUAGUGAUAAUGGAUAAAUAUGACGGGUCAUACACCUACGGGUGGCUGCAGUCGAGAAUAUUCGACAAUGGGCGAAAGCCUGAUCGAGCGACGCCGCGUGCAGGAAGAAGGACUUCGGUCUGUAAACUGCUUUUGCGUGGGAGUAAUUUUGAAAGUACCACGAGAAUAAGGGGUUGCUAACCUCGUGCCAGCAGCAGCGGUAAUACGAGGACCCCAAGCGUUAUCCGGAAUUACUGGGCGUAAAGCGUGAGUAGUCGGUUUUGUUAGUCUGAUGUUAAAUUUCGAGGCUUAACUUCGAAACCGCAUCGGAAACGGCAAGACUAGAGUGGGUUAGAGGCAAGCGGAACGUGCGGUGUAGGGGUGAAAUCCAUUAAUAUUGCACGGAACACCAAAAGCGAAGGCAGCUUGCUAGGGCUCUACUGACGAUCAGUUGCGAAAGC
rnacentral:rRNA from 1 species